UCUCCGUAGGUGAACCUGCGGAGGGAUCAUUACAGAGUUCAUGCCCUACCGGGUAGAUCUCCCACCCUAUGUUAUUAUUACUUUGUUGCUUUGGCGGGCCGUUAGGCUCCGGCCCGACUACCGGCCCCGGCUGGUAAGCGCCCGCCAGAGGACCCAAAACCCUGUAUAUUAGUGUCGUCUGAGUACUAUAUAAUAGUUAAAACUUUCAACAACGGAUCUCUUGGUUCUG
rnacentral:misc_RNA from 1 species